UUUUGAAUUUCAUUUCCUGUUUGACCAGAGUGAGGUCAUCAGCAGAGGUGAUCACGCAGUCCCAGAAUUGCAAAAAGAGCUCCUGCAUGUACCGAAUGGGAGGUACUGGAUCCAAUUGCUGUAUGGGAAGACGAACCCAUGCUAUCAGAACUGCGUUCCAAAAGAUGAAAUGCCAAUAUAUUU